UAGCGAAAUUCCUUGUCGGGUAAGUUCCGACCCGCACGAAAGGCGUAAUGAUUUGAGCACUGUCUCGACAAUGCAUCCGGUGAAAUUGAAGUACCAGUGAAGAUGCUGGUUACCCGCGCCAGGACGGAAAGACCCCAUGGAGCUUUACUCCAGUUUGAUACUGGGAUUCGGUACUGCAUGUACAGGAUAGGUGGGAGACGAAGAAGGAUGGACGCCAGUCUGUCCGGAGUCGCUGUUGGGAUACCACCCCUGUAGUACUGGGUUUCUAACCAGUUGCCAUGAACUGGCAAUGGGACAAUGUCAGGCGGGGAGUUUGACUGGGGCGGUCGCCUCCGAAAGGGUAUCGGAGGCGCUCAAAGGUUCCCUCAGAAUGGUUGGAAACCAUUUGAAGAGUGCAAAGGCAGAAGGGAGCUUGACUGCGACACCGACGGGUGGAGCAGGUACGAAAGUAGGACUUAGUGAUCCGGUGGUAUAAAGUGGGAUUGCCAUCGCUCAACGGAUAAAAGCUACCCUGGGGAUAACAGGCUUAUCACUCCCAAGAGUUCACAUCGACGGAGUGGUUUGGCACCUCGAUGUCGGCUCAUCGCAUCCUGGGGCUGUAGCAGGUCCCAAGGGUUGGGCUGUUCGCCCAUUAAAGCGGUACGCGAGCUGGGUUCAGAACGUCGUGAGACAGUUCGGUCCCUAUCUGUCGUGGGCGCAGGAUAUUUGAUGGGAGCUGUUCCUAGUACGAGAGGACCGGAGCGGACGUACCUCUGGCGCACCAGUUGUUCUGCCAAGGGCAUAGCUGGGCAACUAUGUACGGAUCGGAUAAACGCUGAAAGCAUCUAAGCGUGAAGCCGACCCAAAGAUAAGAUAUCCCAUUGUUUCAAACAAGUAAGACCCCUUGAAGACUACAAGGUUGAUAGGCACGAUGUGUAAGUGGAGUGAUCCAUUCAGCAAGCGUGUACUAAUAGGUCGAGGGCUUGACCAC
rnacentral:rRNA from 1 species